GACAGAGGAUGCAAGCGUUAUCCGGAAUGAUUGGGCGUAAAGCGUCUGUAGGUGGCUUUUAAGUCCGCCGUCAAAUCCCAGGGCUCAACCCUGGACAGGCGGUGGAAACUACCAAGCUGGAGUACAGUAGGGGCAGGAGGGUAAUUUCCGGUGGAGCGGUGAAAUGCGUAGAGAUCGGAAAGAACACCAACGGCGAAAGCACUCUGCUGGGCCGACACUGACACUGAGAGACGAAAGCUAGGGGAGCGAAUGGG
rnacentral:rRNA from 1 species